rnacentral:rRNA from 1 species
GAUGAACGCUGGCGGCGUGCCUAAUACAUGCAAGUCGAACGAACGGACGAGAAGCUUGCUUCUCUGAUGUUAGCGGCGGACGGGUGAGUAACACGUGGAUAACCUACCUAUAAGACUGGGAUAACUUCGGGAAACCGGAGCUAAUACCGGCUAAUAUUUUGAACCGCAUGGUUCAAAAGUGAAAGACGGUCUUGCUGUCACUUAUAGAUGGAUCCGCGCUGCAUUAGCUAGUUGGUAAGGUAACGGCUUACCAAGGCAACGAUGCAUAGCAGACCUGAGAGGGUGAUCGGCCACACUGGAACUGAGACACGGUCCAGACUCCUACGGGAGGCAGCAGUAGGGAAUCUUCCGCAAUGGGCGAAAGCCUGAUGCAGCAACGCCGCGUGAGUGAUGAAGGUCUUCGGAUCGUAAAACUCUGUUAUUAGGGAAGAACAUAUGUGUAAUUAACUGUGCACAUCUUGACGGUACCUAAUCAGAAAGCCCCGGCUAACUACGUG